UACCGCUUCUGCUUUGUUAUUCUUAAUAUUGCCUUACCUGACUGAAGUCUGACAGAGGCUUACCUGAGGGAAUGUGGAGGAGUUCUGCUGACACUAAACGGAUCACAGGAGCAGCUCGCUACACGCCUUCCUGUUGGAGACAUCACCGCAUAGCUAUGCAGAGCGAGAGACCGCAGGCACCGUCAUGUUUCAAGGACUUUCAGCCAGAACAAUGGAGGAAUAUGGAGCUACUCCUAGACUUGUGUUAACCCCUUUGAGUACUUUGGUGAAAAUACAACUAGAUCCAGCAAGUCUUCAUCAGGUUCCCUGGUCCUUCACAGCUGUGUUUUGAUUUAGCCACACCUGGUUCCCACGCCACUCAUCAAUCCUCUUCCCUGCAGUUCCUUCCCUCUUUGCCAGGGUUGGGCUUUAGUACUCCAGGUCAAAGGCUGGCAUCACACAGCAUAUGAAGACAAUAACGCAUCAGAUUGUGGGCAGAAGAAGAAGAAACAACCCUGAUAAUAUGUCAUAAAUAAAUACGACGGUGUAUGAACCGGCUCGUUAUGAACUAUGAAAACUACGUAUGUCUGAGUGGAACGUGGACAUUUGGCUAUAAAUAUGAAUACGGGUUAUGUGUAUGUUUGCUCUUUACAUCUCGGAAGAUAACCUGAGCAGGAACUCAACUUUGAACUUACUACCGUUUGCUUCAAUCAGAUUUUAGGAUCUAUUUGUUGAGACACAGCGACGGUUUGAGCCGAUUCCUUUUUUGUCCAAUAAUAUUUGUCCAAUUAUAAGCACAAGUGGCUAUAAUGAAAAAAAGUCUAAUGUUUUGCCAACAUUACCGGAAUACUUUUAUGAACGAUCACCCAGACUCUGACUACUUUGGUAAAGUAGGAUCCUCUGAUCUGGAAUUGAUUUAUGUCCAAACUAAUUUAUUCAAAAAGGGGCAGGGAUAUGAACAGAUGGACACUAGAUGGGGCUGGAGCACAUCUAGCACGUCUAUCCUUUUUCCUCUGGACAAAAAUCGUGCCCUUCUAAAAUCUUUUUUUUUUUUCUUUUUGCACAGUGCAGUAUGUGUCUGUAUCAUAAACCUGCUCUGGUUCAAAGGCCAAAUGAAGCAUCAGGUCACUAUUAUUUUUAAUUUGCCAAUUUAAUUUGUACACAAAGAAUGUGAUUUUAGAAUUCCAAGUGUUAUAAAAAAAAAUAACGCUGAUCUAUUUCAAUCCAAGCACUUAAAUGAAAGUAUGUGACACUCUCAAAAUUAGACAAUUUCAGUACUGUGUGGAAUUAUCAUUAUAGCCCGAAUGCUAUUUAGGCAGUUAAGGUUCUCCAUGUUGUAAAAACUCCAGUAAAAAAAAAAAAAAAGUUUUAGUCUGGAAGCGUGUGUAAUCCUGAAAUUAAAAACGAGUAGGAAACCUCGAUUAGCUCAGUAUGAAUCCCCAUGUGCAAAAUCUAACAUUAACAAAGAUGUUUGCACACAUACAAACAUGGUCACAACUGAAUAAGCAAACAUACACACUGAGCUGGAUUUUUCCUGCUUCAUUGUCCCUCCAUCCGUCAUUUUACCAAGUAGUAAUUGAAAACACAUCUCCCCGAGCCCCUGGCACCCACUACAAAUACAGCUCACCGGGCCUUUUUUUCCCCUCGCAAAAUAAAGCGCAAUAACAAAUAGAGUCGAAACAACCAAAAACAGAGGAUGCACGCUGUAGUUUUUGGCACAAGAUGAAGAGAAUGUGUUCCAGGUUCUUGGUGGAGAGCCAAAUCCAUUAUGCUAGAUUGGGGGGGGGGGGGGAAGAAAUAUACAUUUCCCUGACAAAUGGAUGAAGCACUUGUCCCUGACCGAAUAAUAAAUCGUUAAGAGUCUGAGUUGAAGUCUAAAAGUCUAUUUGUUCAGCAUGUCCAAUACUCUGGUUUCAAUGACAUUUUCAAAGCGAAGUGCACAGACAGACCAAAUGGAAAUGGGAAUAAACAAUAGACAGAUUGUGGAU